UCUUGGUUUGUUAUUUGCCAUUAAUCUUGUUUAUUGUUUUUUGGCCAUACAAAGUCUUUUUGCUCCUGUGAAAAAAUAUUUAUUCACUUUAUUCCUUGCAGCUUGUGGAAAGUAUAAGAUUAUAUAUUUUUUCAAAUAGGUAGUUCUAUUUACAUCACUUUUAUCACAUGCAGAUUUCUAUCUGAAUUGUCUAUUCUGUGUCUUGGGACCUGAUUUUUUAAAAUGGAGUUAAUAUUCCCAAUAUUGGUUAUUUAAGAAUCCACGUAAUCCUACUGACCUCAGAUAACACUUUCAGCACACGCUUCAUGGAUGCGAUUUGGGGGACUACGUCGGGUAACUGUUUAAGUGAGAGGAUUACUUGUUUGCUCCUCACCUAAUCCUUGUUCCUGUUCUUCAGGCUCCGCUGCAGUGAAUAGGUCACCUCUGCAUUUCUCGGAGUUGAGCAGCAGAAACUCCUUAUUUUAAUGUUUUAUUUUUAGCCAAUCACAGCGAUCCCUUUAGCCUCCCCUCCACUUUAAUGUCACCCUCAGCAAGAUCAGUAUUUUCUUAAAGUAAUAACACUGUCAUGAAAACCCGCUAUUUAUUUCAGCCCGUGACUCACCUGUGAGUCUUUAGGCCACAAUAACCUGCCAGCUUCUUUGCUGUUAAAUUAUUCACACAUACUCAUUAUGUUGCCUUCUCCUCCUGAUGCCCCUCCUGGCCCUGCUGGAGCCUAGAGCUGGUGCCUGCCCUGCUUGCAUCCUUGCAUGGCCUGUUUCUGUCUGCCCUCCUGCAGCAGGAGCUGAAGAAGCACCGAGAAUCGCCACCAUCCCUUGUUCACACCCCUGCAGCAUUUUCCAGGAGACGCUGCGACCUCAGUGAAAGCAGGGAACAGUUUUUGAAGGAGGCUUUUCUCUUCAAUUCUGCAGCUUAUUUUUUCAGGAUAUGACUUCCCUGCAUAUAAUGAACAAUUUUAUUUUCAACUAAAGGUUUUGUUCCAUCAUCAAACAUUUUCACCAUGAGUGAAUGUAACAAUCUGAUUUUUUUUCAAUGGAAAGAAAGUAAUAGGGAAUGAAAUCUAUGAAGCCAGAAGAGGUUUGGAAUUUCAAUGGAAUCCAGGUGAUUGAUAAGCAUGUUCCUUCAUGUCAACCUCCCAGUUACAGAACUGGAAAAGCAGUGAGCAAUUCCUUUUUUCUUUUUUAGAUGGAGUUUCGCUCUUGUUACCCAGGCUGGAGUGCAAUGGCGCUAUCUCGGCUCACCGCAACCUCCGCCUCCUGGGUUCAGGCAAUUCUCCUGCCUCAGCCUCCUGAGUAGCUGGGAUUACAGGCACGUGCCACCGAGCCCAGCUAAUUUUUUGUAUUUUUAGUAGAGACGGGGUUUCACCAUGUUGACCAGGAUGGUCUCGAUCUCUUGACCUCGUGAUCCACCUGCCUCAGCCUCCCAAAGUGCUGGGAUUACAGGCUUGAGCCACGGGUGCCCUAUUUUACAUACCUACAUAGAGAUGGAAACUGACUGCAGAAAAACGUUUUGGAAGGCUCACUUCAGCCUCUUUCUUGAGAAUCCUGUUGAUCAAGCAUGCAGUCGCAAACACACACAUCCUUCCGCCACGGUGAGAUGACUGUGGCCUAUGUCACAGCCCUAAUCUGUCCUUUCUCUUGAUGCCCACGCAGGUUGAGAAGCAUCAUUGCUGCUGCAGAGCGCAGAGUCAGUGAACUGAGGCUGAGCUUCCUUAUUUCCUGUAGGAUAUCUCCUGUGACACUGUGCGCUGGAGAGAACCCAAGGUCAGUUAAUCUCAGAGCUCCCUCUGCAAUCCAGUCCUGCAUGAUCCUUUGAAUAACGGCCUUCUGCUGCUUGCCAAUGGAUUCUCUAUGCCUAGAACACGAGCUACCACUCCAUAACCAUCGUCUGUAUCACUGGGUGAAAACAUAAAGAAGUAACGAUGUAUCAGGUCUCCAUAUGCAAGCCUGAAGCCUGAAGCCUGAAAGUCUGAAGUCCUGCUUGCCUCCGCUGAUGCCUCCCACCCCCGCCUUCCUUCCCCAUUGUCCGUGAUCGCCCUGCGGGAGCCUCCCCAGACGAGCCCCUCACCCAGCCCUGCCAUCUUAACUGUUCUUGUGAUAAUGUAAGUAAGUUCCUCUCACCCAGCCCUGCCAUAACUGAACUUGUGCUCAUGUAUACUCCUUGCUCCACCCCCCACCACAGUAACUGAACUGACUCCGCAGCACCCCUGCCCCCCAAAAGCUACCCAAACUGUUGUGGUGAGCAGUCCCUUUUUUCUGCUUUCCCAUCCUUCUGUCUUGUCCUUUCCACUUCCCCCCACUUUUGGUUUCAUCCUUUUUCCACUGCAAAGACAAGGAAAAUCAGGUAAACUAGGUUCUUCCGUGAGGUUCAUGACUGGAAAAUCCUAUGUAGGUCAGGGAUCCAGACACUCAGUUUUCCCAGGAGUUUGACUAUCGUGGACACGUUCACCCUAGUCGCCCGCCCACCAGGCUCAUGGCUGAUAUUGGUGGCAGGUCAAUGUAGAGGACGCUCUCUUUGACCGCUCACCAAUGACGAGGUUCAACCCAGGCUCACCGAGGGACACCUGUUGAGCGGCUGGGCUGCGUGCCCAUUCUCCUUAUCUCCGCUGCCUUUCCAGAACCUUGGGCAAACUCCUGUCCUCUCUCCCUCCCUCCUCUCCGCUGGCCUGUGUUCUAAAGAACCUCAAGCCUCCUCAACUGUCUCCUGACCUAAAACCCAAAUGUCUCUUCUGUAACACUGCAUGGCCACAAUACAAGUUAGACAAUGGCUCCAACUGGCCAAAAAAAUGGCGCUUUCAACCUCUCUAUUUUACAAAAUUUAGACAAUUUUCGUCACAACAAGGGCAAAUGGUCUGAAAUUCACUAUGUCCAGGCACUUUUUUUACACACCAAUCCCUCCCUAAUCUCUACUCCUCUUCCCUUCCGUCUGCCCCUCCUUACUCUGCGCUCUGUGGGUAAGCCAGAGCAUCCCCAUCCUUGUCCAUCGACCCUUUUUCCUCCCCACCUGUCUGAACCAGGCCCUCAACCAGGACCUAACCCCACCCCCAGAGCCUUCCUCUUCUUCCUCUGCCCACAACCCACCUCCUCAUGCCCUUCCUGUCACCUCCCCACCUCAAACGCCGUCCGGCUUACAGUGUAGUCCUGCAGCUGACUCCUCUGCCUCUGCUCAACAAUGCCCCCUUCCAGAGGUGGCUGGAGCCAAAGGCAUAGUUAGGGUGCACAUCCCUUUUCCUUUAUCCAGCGUUUCCCAAACUGGCCGCUAGUUAGGCUCCUUUUCAUCAAAUCCUCCAAUACUUCACCCACUCCAAUAGUCCCACCUGGAGUAACUUAAAUGUCACCCUUCCACUCUCACCCCUAAAAAAUGCUUAAUAUGCAUUUUAUCACCCAGUCAACCCCAACAUUACAAAAAGGUACAGAAAUUAAAAUCUGGCCCUCAAACCCCACAACAGGAAUUAAGCUAGCUCACCUUCAAGGUGUUCGAUAAUAGGGAAAAAUCUGCCUGGCGGUAGCACAUCUCAGAACUGCAGAUGCUGUCUCUUCCGUAAGACAAACCCCAGCCACAUCACAGGCUCACAGAGACCUCAAAAGCUUCAGGCUGCAGCGCGACCAGCCACCCCUCCCGGAACUUCCUUCAAGUGUCGGAAACCUGGCCACUGGGCCAAGGAAUGCCUGCAGCCCGGGACUUCUCCUGAGCCCUGCCCCGUCCGUGCGGGGCCCCACAGAAAGUCGACUGUCUGACUCACAUCGCUGCUCCCAGGGCUCCUGAAGCUCCAACCCUCGACUUGGCGGCUGAAGACUGACGCUGCCCGAGCAUCUAGGAAGCCCCCUAGACCAUCACAGAUGCCAAACUUCGGGUAGCUCUUACGUGGAGGAAAGACAGGUAUGUCACGUCUCCAUAUGCAAGCCUGGAGCCUGAAAGUCUGAAGUCCUGCUUCCCUGGACUGAUGUCUCCCGCCCUUGCCUGUGUUUGCCAUGGUCCCUGAGCGGCCGGUGGCGGAGCCUCCCCGGACACGCCCCUCACCCAGCCCUGCCAUCUUAACCCUUCUUGUGACCAUAAUUUGGGGGUCUGUGCAUAAUACAGGCUCCCCUGCAGGACCCCCAGGAGCAAACUCGACUUCCUAGGCUCUCCACCCUUCUCCAUCUGGCCAAAGGUCAAGAGUGAACCCCAAAAGAAGCUGUGGACCCUGUGUGAUAGUGCAUGCGCUUGGAGGCUCAUCCACUGAACCACUGUUCACUUCAGCAGGGAAGAGGCUGGUAGCUGUCAGCCUGUGUGUAGGGGACAUGUGGGAAACCUCCGUUUCUUUCUCUCAAUUUUGCCCUGAUUCUAAAACCCUGCUAAAAAAGUUAAGUCUUAAAGAAACAGGAUGGAGACAAACUCAUCAGAUACAAUACGUGAACUGUGAAACAAUCCUAGAUUCGGGGACAAAAGCAAGAAAAGAAAUUCUCUCUGGGGCAAUUACAGAGCUGAAAGUAGAGGCUGCCUACGAGAUGGUGUUAUUCAUAUUCAAUCCGGGCUCAUUUCUUAGGCGCGUGUGAUCACAAAUAGUGCUGAAUUAUAACGGUAAAUAAAGGCACCUAUGGAAGUGCCGCUCAGUGACAGCAUUUCCACAGGGAGCCACAGUGCUGCUGCCAAUUUUUCUUUUUUUUUAUGAUUUACAUUGAUAUCAGAUCAAACUCAAAGAAACUAGAGAAAGAAGUGACUAGCUCAUCCCUAAGGCCCUAGCUAAAACAGCACUGUCUCCACUGAUCUUUUGCCGAGACAUAAAUAAUAUCCCUUCAAGACCAUCAACCUUGCAGGUGGCUCAGGAAGCAUGCAUUUCUCCUGUCGGCUAAAAAAAGAUGCCACAUGCCUUUGCCAUCAUAGAGUCAGUCUAGCAGUGGGACUUUUCCAUAAGUAGAGCUAGGACAUGGCCACUUCUUUAAGUAAAUUAUAAAUCCUGGCCUUAUAUUUAACAUAUUUAUAUUUAAUUUUUUAAUGAGCAAUAUUUUUCAUGUUUUAAAUAAUUUCUUGUUUUAGUAACAAGUGAAGAAGGGAGACCAAGUUUUUCGCCUUUUAGUACCUGCAGCUGACCGUGCAUGUCUGGUACCUGAGGCCUCAGGAAAUGCAGAGAAUUUUGUUUAAAAGUAAACUUGCUGGUUUACUGGACUUACAUUGUUAUCUCUCUGUAAAUGGAACAAGGCUCCAGCAUGACAGAGUGGAAAUCAGGUGAAUUUAAUACCACCAGUCAACAGCCAAUAUCCCUGAAGCUACCUUACCAACCUUGUACUUGCUAUUUAGAGCAGCAUACAGUCUCUUUCUAAGAAAAUUUGAACAAGCAAUUGAAAAAUCAUAUCUAUACUUAACAUGAAACCAAAAAACUAUGUUGGCUUUAAAAGACUGGACUGGAUUAAAAUUAUCUACACGGAGGCUGUAUUAUGUAUUUUAAAUAUUCUACUUAUAAAUUUCAUUUCUAUUUAACAUCACACAAAAGAAACUUUAUUUUGUAACUUUAUGAUAUUUUCAAGAAAAAUAUUUUAGUUGAUUUGAUAUUUUUUCAUUCAGCACCACACAAAUCCUCAGAGACAAAACCUUAUAGGAAACAUGGCCUUUCCAUAACAUGCACGUUCGUCUUCUCCCUUUCAAAAUGGUCAGUUAUCCCAGCUGCUUAGUUCCCUUUAAAGAGAAUGAAUUAUUUAUGCAGGUGGUUGCUGAAAAUGAAACACCAUUCAAAGUUUAAAUUAAAGAAUUACAAGACCUUGGGGAAUUCCUAUGCCCAAA